GUCACUGUGCUUCAUAUUCAACUUGCUGCUGUUUAGCCUUUCAAAUCUUGUGUUACCAUGCUUUAUUCUCUUUUAAGGGAUACAUUGCUACCAUCAUCAUUACUGCGGUUCUUCAUCAGGAUAUAUAUUGGCAAGAGUUUACUGCUUCAACUCAUUGUCAAUAUUCUUAUACUUUCUGAUCUUUGCUAUAACCCCAGGAUCUGUUUGUAAU
rnacentral:lncRNA from 1 species